CCGCCAGACUCCUACGGGAGGCAGCAGUGAGGAAUAUUGGUCAAUGGGCGAGGGCCUGAACCAGCCAAGUCGCGUGAGGGAAGACGGUCCUAUGGAUUGUAAACCUCUUUUGCCGGGGAGCAAAAAGCGGUACGUGUACCGCAUCGAGAGUACCCGGAGAAAAAGCAUCGGCUAACUCCGUGCCAGCAGCCGCGGUAAUACGGAGGAUGCGAGCGUUAUCCGGAUUUAUUGGGUUUAAAGGGUGCGUAGGCGGAAUGCCAAGUCAGCGGUAAAAUCGCGGGGCUCAACCUCGCUCCGCCGUUGAAACUGGCGCUCUUGAGUGGGCGAGAAGUAUGCGGAAUGCGUGGCGUAGCGGUGAAAUGCAUAGAUAUCACGCAGAACUCCGAUUGCGAAGGCAGCAUACCGGCGCCCAACUGACGCUGAAGCACGAAAGCGUGGGUAUCGAACAGGAUUAGAUACCCGAGUA
rnacentral:rRNA from 1 species